rnacentral:rRNA from 1 species
UACAGAGGGGGCAAGCGUUGUUCGGAAUUACUGGGCGUAAAGGGCGCGUAGGCGGCCUUCUAAGUCGAACGUGAAAUCCCCGGGCUCAACCCGGGAACUGCGUCCGAUACUGGAAGGCUUGAAUCCGGGAGAGGGAUGCGGAAUUCCAGGUGUAACGGUGAAAUGCGUAGAUAUCUGGAGGAACACCGGUGGCGAAGGCGGCAUCCUGGACCGGCAUUGACGCUGAGGCGCGAAAGCCAGGGGAGCAAACGGG